UUGGGGUUUAUAUUUAAGAUUGAUAAUUAUAUUUUAUAAUUUAGGAUUAUAUUUAUGGUUUUGUAGUUUAUGAUUUGAUUUUAAUAAUUAUAAGUUUAAAAUAUAAGGGUUGAUGUUUAUGAUUUUUUUUUUUUGAAAAAUUAGGUUUGGGGUUUAGGAUAUAUGGUUUAAUUUAGUGGUUAAUUUAUUUUUGAAAUGGGGAAUUUAAAAUUUGAAGUGUUACAUAUAGGUUGGGAUAUAUAUUAUAUGAAUUAGAUUUUAUUUAAAAUUUAAGGUUUAAUAUUUAUGAUAUAGGGUUUAAAGUAUGUGGUUUAGGAUUUAUGUUUAAGAUUAAGUAUGUGGUUUCAGAUUAAGUUUUUUACAAGAUUAAGUUUAUAGUCUCAUGUUUUAGAUUGGAGUUUAAGUUUAAAAAUAUUAUAGUUGGAGUUUGUAUUUAGGAUAUAGGGUUUGAGGUAUGUAGUUUAGCGUUUAGAUUAAGAAUGAAAUUUAAGGAAAUAUUAUUCUGAUUAAAAGUUAGAAAAUAUCAUAUUUAGAGACUGGUUUUAGUAUUUAGGAUAUAUGUUUUAAGUUUGAAGUUUGGGGUUGAAGGUAUAUAAAAAACUAAAAUAGCCAUUAAAAUUAUGUAGCAAAAACGUGGCUACCAAAUUGUAGCUACGUAAUUAACGUGACACUUUCGUGGCUAGACGUGUAUUCACUGUUAUUUCGUAACUAAAUUGUAGCUAGUUUUAUGUCCUAGCCAGAUCAUAGCUAUCUUAGUCAUGUGUCACGUUUCAACAUGGUUUUAUGUUAUUCUGAUUUUUUGAAUUGUGGAUGAUUAGGUAAAAACAUAGUUUUUUAAAUUUAGCUACGAAUUUUUCGUGGCAAUGCCGUAGUUAUUUCAAAGAUUUUUACUGGUGUAAAUCUCCGUGUACUAGGAGAAAAUCACUUUUGUUUGGUAAAUAAAAAUUA
rnacentral:lncRNA from 1 species